AUAUUUACCAAUUUUUUUGUUUUAUAUAUGUAUAUAAUAUUAAAAUUCCAUAGAAAUAUUAUCUGAAAUAUUAUACUGCACUUAUAAAUCAUAUUGAAUUCAUCAUUCAAGUUUAAAAUAAGAAAUUGCGAAUAUUUUCUGCAUAAAAUUUGAAAUUCGACAAUAUGAUUAGUUAUGCCUGUAACUGAUUUUAAGAAAUAUAGUAUUUAGGUUACACUUUCGUCACGCGAUUCUCGGCCAAACUCUUCCGAAUUGUAUAUAGAUAGGCAUAAAUAAUUCGACAAUCAGUCACGUGUUGUUGAAGCAGAAAGGUUUUUAAAUUAUUGUAGCCAAACAAAAGCCUGUUUAUGAUCACGAUUAGCGAAACGUUUGUAUUAAAAAUAUGAAAAAUUACAGUAUUAACUGAUUUACAUUAAAUUCGAAUGCUUAAUUUAAUAAUUAGAUCAUCCGAAUGAUCGAUUUACAUCAGAUAACGGCAAUGUUUAUUUAUUAGCUAUCACUUGAACGUUAUAUUCUAUAGUUAGUUGGAAAACAGGAAUCAAUCAAUAUGCACAAAUAUAUGAUUAGCGAAAAAAAAAGUGAACAGGAUUGGAAACAAUCGAUCGCAUUCUAACGUUCUAAAUAAUCUGAUCGAAACAAUUCAUUAAACCACAGCUAACUGAUGGUCCGAUUGUACAACUCGCUAUUUAAAACUUUAAUUAUCUAAUAAGCAGUCAUACUAUAAUCAUUAACGUCGCGUCGUUAAUUCAGUUUAUGAAGUUGAAGCUCAUCACACGAUUGAACGGAAAUUACACGAACAAGAGACGACUUCCACUUCGGUUAGUAAACUAUAAAAAUUUUGGAUUUUAUUUAUGGCAUGAUUUAAUGGAUGUUUUCCGGAAUGCCCGACUGCCCAUACUCGCACGCACCGAUCAAUAUUUUAGAAAAUACUGACAAGCACGAGUUAAAAACGUCCGUUUUUGUUUAUAUACGCAUAUAGUUGAACAUUUCUCUUUAUUAUCAUCGUAAAUUCGAAAAACCAAAAAUACGACUGAUUGUAGGUUACGAGCAAAGUACAACUAGUUGUUUCUUUUUCUAUAUAUAGCUUUAAAACACAGUCGUUUCUGAGGCGGGGUUUCGUAUUUUAAUCUCUUCACUUCAUCUGCCAGUGACGUUUUGCUGAAUUAGUAGAUGCGAAGUAUAAUUAAUUUCGAGUCUGUAAUUAAUAUUUCGCAUAACAGAUCAACUUACAAAAGGUAACAGAAAAUCGAUGGUUUGCUUUACUCGCGUGAUUCGUUGGUAGCUUCGCUAUUUUGUUUUAAAACACUUCAAAAAUUCUCCCCCGCUAUGGCUUGAUUAAAUAUCUUGAAUGAGAGUUCGGCAGUUAGAAACUAGUUAUUUAUUUAUUUUUUUUCUUAAAUUAAAUCGUAGUAAAUGUGUCAUUUUGUCGAUCCUGAGAUUGUUGCUGUUGCUGUUUAACAAAAUUAUUCUCCCGACUGAAGUCCAGCUAAUUAGUUUAGCUCGAGUUAAAACUUAUCAAUGCUAUUUUUCGGGAAAUAAUUAUUCGUUUAAAUUAUGUCUGCUGAUUAAUAAAUCGCGUGAUCGUCUCUUUACGUCUUUCGCAAUUGGAUUUCUCAUCAAGUAAAGAUUUAAAGAGACGUAUUUUACGCUCGCCUAACUCGAAAACGUUUAAAUAGAUUUUUAAAACGAGUACAAACAAAACAUUAUUUGUUUAUCGAAAAUAUAACAAACAUUAUUCAGAAUAAUACAGGUUUUUCUAAGAGUUAUUUGAAAACACGAACAGAUUGCUGUUUUCUCAUAUGAAGAGAAGAGAGAAAUUCUCCCAACGUUUCUAGGAUUUAGUGUUUACACUAACACAGACGGAAAAAAAAAAAAAAAACAUGGUUUCCUCCAUAAAAAGAACAAACACGUGACAUCACGAAGCCAAAAUAAAUAGCUUUCAUUUAAUUAGGUUGAAAGUGGAAGGGAUUGUUUAUAAGAAACUUGCCGUAGUAUUGUCGUGCAGUUAAAAGGUUAUUGGAUGUAAUGGUUUUUACUUCAAUGCUACACACACACACACACACACACACACACACACACACACACACACAGAGCCAUUUAUCGAUUAUGAGACCAGUUCCGUGACCCAGGUGCCGGAGCACGUAUGCGAUUAUAAAAAUUUUGUACAUAUUUCACACCUUGUAAUUCCUCCUACGAUACCACGUGUCGGUUUCGGAUAAUGAAUUAUUUAUACGAUGCAAAAA
rnacentral:lncRNA from 1 species